GAUGAACGCUGGCGGCGUGCCUAAUACAUGCAAGUCGAGCGAACGGACGAGAAGCUUGCUUCUCUGAUGUUAGCGGCGGACGGGUGAGUAACACGUGGAUAACCUACCUAUAAGACUGGGAUAACUUCGGGAAACCGGAGCUAAUACCGGAUAAUAUUUUGAACCGCAUGGUUCAAAAGUAAAAGACGGUCUUGCUGUCACUUAUAGAUGGAUCCGCGCUGCAUCAGCUUGUUGGUGGGGUAGUGGCUUACCAAGGCUUUGACGGGUAGCCGGCCUGAGAGGCUGACCGGCCACACUGGGACUGAGAGACGGCCCAGACGCCUACGGGUGGCAGCAGUGGGGAAUCUUGCACAAUGGGUGGAAGCCUGAUGCAGCAACGCCGUGUGCGGGAUGACGGCCUUCGGGUUGUAAACCGCUUUCGCUCAUGACGAAGCUUUGUGUGACGGUAGUGGGUAAAGAAGCACCGGCUAACUACGUG
rnacentral:rRNA from 1 species